GUCCAUGUAGCUUAAAAUAAAGCAUGACACUGAAGCCGUCAAGAUGGCUGCUACAAACACCCAUGGACA
rnacentral:tRNA from 1 species